rnacentral:sRNA from 1 species
UUUUUUUAUAAACUCUAUCGGCUGAUCCGGUUAUUUUCGGUAGAAACGCACCGAAAUACUUCAGAGUGGACUUCUUUCCGAAGUACCACCACACUAUUUGUCCCGAGUUUGGAAUGUUUUCCGACUAAUGCCAGAGGAUAGUCAGGCCACCUGUAUUUCUGACUACCAGGUAAACCAAUUGGGUCAAGACCCAACUGACAGACUUCCCAAACAAAUGUGAUUUUUGUUUUCAGAGAGGACUGAACUCGGGUCUGAGAAUUUCACCCUUUUCUAAUCAAGUAGUUCCAUACUUUCCAACUUAUAAUGAAUUUUGACCGAGAACCAAAUUAUGCAAAUCAUUUGCUUCCGUCAUCAAAAUUAUGAUU